UACGAAGGGGGCAAGCGUUGUUCGGAAUCAUUGGGCGUAAAGCGCGUGUAGGCGGUCUAUUAAGUCGAGUGUGAAAUCCCUGGGCUCAACCGAGGAAGUGCAUUCGAAACUGGUAGACUAGAAGAUGGUAGAGGAUGGUGGAAUUCCAGGUGUAGAGGUGAAAUUCGUAGAUAUCAGGAGGAACACCGGUGGCGAAGGCGCUCAUCUGGCCCCAAUACUGACGCUGAGGCGCGAAAGCUAGGGGAGCAAACGGG
rnacentral:rRNA from 1 species